rnacentral:rRNA from 1 species
CUAGACCUGAAAUCAGUCGAGGUUACCCGCUGAAUUUAAGCAUAUUACUAAGCGGAGGAAAAGAAAAUAACUAUGAUUCCCUCAGUAACGGCGAGUGAAGCGGGAUGAGCUCAAAGUGAAAAUCCGCUGUUUCUUUGAAACCGCGAAUUGUAGCCU